GCAAACAGGAUUAGAUACCCUGGUAGUCACGCUGUAAACGAUGUCGAUUUGGAGUUUGUUGCCUAGAGUGAUGGGCUCCGAAGCUAACGCGAUAAAUCGACCGCUGGGGAGUACGGCCGCAAGGUUAAAACUCAAAUGAAUUGACGGGGGCCCGCACAAGCGGUGGAGCAUGUGGUUUAAUUCGAUGCAACGCGAAGAACCUUACCUGGUCUUGACAUCCAUAGAAUUCUGCAGAGAUGUGGGAGUGCCUUCGGGAACUAUGAGACAGGUGCUGCAUGGCUGUCGUCAGCUCGUGUUGUGAAAUGUUGGGUUAAGUCCCGCAACGAGCGCAACCCUUAUUCCUUGUUGCCAGCGAUUUGGUCGGGAACUCAAAGGAGACUGCCGUUGAUAAAGCGGAGGAAGGUGGGGACGACGUCAAGUCAUCAUGGCCCUUACGACCAGGGCUACACACGUGCUACAAUGGCGUAUACAAAGGGAAGCGAAGGUGCGAGCUGGAGCGGAUCUCAUAAAGUACGUCUAAGUUCGGAUUGGAGUCUGCAACUCGACUCCAUGAAGUCGGAAUCGCUAGUAAUCGUAGAUCAGAAUGCUACGGUGAAUACGUUCCCGGGCCUUGUACACACCGCCCGUCACACCAUGGGAGUGGGUUGCACCAGAAGUAGAUAGCUUAACCGCGAGGGGGGCGUUUACCACGGUGUGAUUCAUGACUGGGGUGAAGUCGUAACAAGGUAACCA
rnacentral:rRNA from 1 species